GUGGGGAAUCUUCCGCAAUGGGCGAAAGCCUGACGGAGCAACGCCGCGUGAGUGAAGAAGGCCUUCGGGUCGUAAAGCUCUGUCUUCGGGGACGAACCGUACGGGGAAUAAUACGCUCCGUAUCUGACGGUACCUGAGGAGGAAGCUCCGGCUAACUACGUGCCAGCAGCAGCGGUAAUACGUAGGGAGCGAGCGUUGUCCGGAAUUACUGGGCGUAAAGGGCGCGUAGGCGGGGAUUUAAGUAAGGUGUGAAAACUGCGGGCUCAACCUGGAGACUGCACGUUAAACUGGAUCUCUUGAGGGCAGGAGAUGAAAGUGGAAUUCCUAGUGUAGCAGUGAAAUGCGUAGAUAUUAGGAGGAACACCAGUGGCGAAGGCGACUUUCUGGACUGUACCUGACGCUGAGGCGCGAAAGCGUGGGGAGCGAACAGGAUUAGAAACCCUAGUAGUCC
rnacentral:rRNA from 1 species